CUUUUUGAGAGAGAAUUCUGACGACGUGGGACUGAUGGCUCGCAUUGAAAUGGCGUCUGUCGAUGCUGUUUGUGUGCAACUUCUCUUUGUAAAUGCGUGAGAGAGCUUCGAUUUGCUUCGUUGCGUCGGUUUCCGGCCAUUGAGAUAAUAAAAUUGCGAAAGCAAAAGGAAAUAAUGCUCUGAGAAAUAACAUUUUGUUUGAGAGUGGAGAAAUUAAGGAGAUGGAAAUUAUGGGGUUUAAAUAGAUUCACAAAAAGAGGUGGAUUAGAAUAAUAUUGGAUACAUGUGAUCACAAAGUCUAAACAAACAUGGAAAAUUGUUGGGAUUGGAUGAUUGCACCUCCCAACUUGACGCUAUUAUAUGUUUGGCAACUGCCAGAUCAUGGGGGCAAAAUGGUCAUUUCCGUUUUUGGAUGGUUAUCGGCUAAUCUUUUUAUUUUUAUUUUUGUAUACGUUU
rnacentral:lncRNA from 1 species